GCAGAGAGCAACGGCGAGAACUUUCCGUUCUGCCUGGAUCUCAGCAGAGGGCCCAAGGUCAGAGAGGGCGCUGACAGUAAGAGGUCCUCGGACUGCUGCUGGGCCAAGUCAGGUGCCCACACCUCGGAGAGAUAAGGAAAUUCGAGCACAGUCGGCGCCGCCACCCGCUCCUUGCCUUCCAGCGGGGCAGGGCUCGUGCCCUUGGCCGGGUCACCGCUCCCUCCCCGGACGCGCCUCGCUUCCACGUGCAGAGCCAACUUUUGCUCUCUGGCGAUUCCCUCGCCACUGAGCCAAGUCGUCUGGGGGUUCGAGGGGAGCGGGAGGUCAGAGGAUCAAGGAAGGUUCCGGUCCGGGGUCCUCGGAUCAUCAGGGACACCGUGACCAUCUAGUAAAUGACGGCGGACAAGGCAGGGGCAUCCACGUCUCCGCGUUCCGUUCCCGCGCCUGCGGCGCCCCAGGGUGGUGGGAAGCACGGGGAGGCGGAGGAGGGAGAGCGUGUCCCUGCCUUAGGCCCGGCGACGCCCUAAGACCGGCUCAACGGGGACAGCGGUGUCUGGAGAGCACCUCGAGCCGCGGGCCCUCUCAGUCCAAGCGGCGGGGACCGAGGGCCGCACCGCACCCCUCGCGGCCACCCGCGACUCGCGCCGCCGCUCGAGAAAUGACUGCUCUCGCGAGAUUUCCCGAGAUCGGGCCGCCGCGCCCGCGGACGCGGUUGCCAAGGUAACUGGGAGGCGCCAGCGCAAGCGGGAAGGAGGCGGCGGUCGAAUUUUUGCGUGCGGGCGGGAGAGACUUGAGGAGUGGCCCUUCCUGAGCUUUCAGCCCCGCAGAGCGCGCCCUCCGCUGCAGUCGGUACCCCUGCCCCCGCGGGGCCAUGGGCCGGAUCUCGGGGCUCGUGCCCUCUCGCUUCCUGACGCUCCUGGCGCAUCUGGUGGUCGUCAUCACCUUGUUCUGGUCCCGGGACAGCAACAUCCAGGCCUGCCUGCCUCUCACGUUCACCCCGGAGGAGUACGAGAAACAGGACAUUCGUGCCCUCCCCGCUAUCACCGAAAUAGCAUUGUUCAUCAGCGUCUUUGGGCUGAAAAAGAAACCUUUCUGAUACGUUCAUGGCGGGAGCAUAGGAUUGAAGGUUGGAGGAGCAAGGGACAGCUCACCAGUCCUGGAAGAAGAAAGGACAUCUUCAGCCCUCCACAGUAACACUGCAUUUGGUGGAGGAUGUCAUUUUUCCUGUUAGGGGCAGUGGUGUGGGUGUCUCCAGAUUUGGAAUAAGUCGCUUUUCCUGUCGCUCCUACUUGGUGUCUCACCCAUUCUCUCUCGCCGUGGCAGAGAGGACCACCAGCUGCGGAGGUGGGCAUUGGCUUCCCCGGGGGCGACGUCAGGGGUGUGGUGAGAACCCGGGGGCGACGUCAGGGGUGUGGUGAGAACCCGCAGCUCUGCCUGCUAGCACGCGGCCGGAACGUGCUCAGAGGGAGUUUGGAAACACAAUUGGGCCUAGUGCGGACGCGCCAGCAGAGUCUGAAGGGCUGACGAGUGUUCGCGAGGUCCAGUUUCCUCGCGCAGGUCAGUGUUAUGUACGGGAAGAUUAUCUGUCCUAAAUGAUGGAGCCCAGGCCGUCCUAAAUGAGCAAAGGCGUCCAAGGUGAUGCCUCACACACAUGGAACCAACCUUUCCCUCCGCGCCUGUGCCCUCUGGCAGCCUUUCAUCUUGAGCGUUUAUUGGCUACUUACUGAGCACCUAACUCUAUGCAAAGGCACUGUGGUAGGCACUGUGGGAGUCGUGCUGAACAUGAUGCCUGCUUAGCCUCAGCCAUCACAGAUCCUGUGGCUCCUGGGGUCCGGCGGUGUAGCUGGAGCAGAAUUGGGGGGUAGACUGUGCUGGAAGCAAGGAAGGUGGACAUUGCGGGUCGUGCUUACAGACUAGUCAGGAAGGUCACAUCCCACGGCAGUCUGGCUGUCGCCCGCACCCACGUAUGGGGUUCGCUGAUUGCUGAAAGCGGACUUUUUGUUUUUCAGAAACACUGGGGGCUAGUUGCGCCACAGCUAUGAUCAGAAAUCAUGUAAACUCCACAGAUGAAUUAUAUUUAAAAACAGAGGUGUAAAAAAAAAAAAAAAGAAUCCCAGAGGUAAUAUAUGCAAAACUCAUGACUUCCUGAUUUUUUUUUGUUUCUUUUUUUAGUUUGUAGGAAUUUUUUUUUUUUAAUUUUACUGAGUAUAGUUGACACACAGUGUUCCAUUAGUUUCAGGUUCCUGAUUAUUUCCUACGUUUUACUGUCAUGUGCUCUGGCACUCAUUUACAUGUAUUGUGUCUGUAUAGUGGCGGUGCUGUAUAAGGAUGGGCCAGUACGUGUGUUUCUCUUCCCAACUCAUAGAGACACCAAGUUGACAUUUUGAAUUCGGCCCCGGUAAGAGUAUUUACACCCCAGAAAUUGGCGAACGCUACAUAUCGGGCUUUGUUGGUUGUCUAGAUUUAAGAAGGUGAUGGAGGAAAUGUUAAUAAUGCAUGUUAAAUUGAAAAAUGUCACGCCUGUUACAUUGUGAAUGGCACCCAAAAUGAAAUUCCCCCCAGAAGUUGCAAAUUAUUGUCAGAUUCAGCAAAUAAGUUCGUCAAGUCAUUGAGGAAGGAGUGAAAUCUUCACACAUCCCCAGUGUUUCAUUUUUGUCUUACUCAAAAAUGUGAAUUAAAAUAUCAACCAGCAUUCAUACUGGAAAUACCUUGGAGUUGGGACACAACUCGGUCUAUGUAGUCAUGAAUACAAGAGUGGAAUUUACAAUUAAGAAUAUUGUAUGUUUUGGGGCACCUGGGUGGCUCAGUGGGUUAAGCCUCUGCCUUCCGCUCAGGUCAUGAUCUCAGGGUUCUGGGAUCGAGCCCCGCAUCGGGCUCUCUGCUCAGCAGUGAGCCUGCUUCCUCCUC